UGGUGUAGUUAAAAUUAGUUGGUGGGUGUUAAUAAAUAUUUGGAAAGGGGCCCAUCAGAGAUUUUUUAGUUACCUAGUAUUUAUUUUCACCUAGGUACAAUAUAUUUUGUAUAGGAGUGGUGGAAUUUAUUGAAGUUUGUGUUGUUUAGCUACAGACUACCAGUCAUUAUUAUUCUGUAAUUAAUUGUCAUUUCCAUAAUUCAACCUUGCAGUGAUAAUAUAAUGUAGAUAAUACUGAUCCAAUAUUGUAAUUUUAUUGGAACAUUAUAGCUAUGGUGAAGUAAUAAUUAGAUUACACAAUAAUUUUUUUUUUUUUUUUUUUCAAGAACACAGUGUCUAGGCAGAAAAAUGUUAUGCUCAUGUGUAGAGUGUUGACUAUUACAGAUGCAGAGUUCAAGCUAAAGUUCAAUAAUAAUCAAUUAUGAAAAGUAAAUUGACAAGCAUGUUAGUUCAGUUACUGUGUUUAAUUUUAAAGUUUCAUUACCAAUUUGUUUUUAAAAAAUUUUUCUAUCAAUUGUAUUAGGUAUAGUAUAUUAUGCACAGGUGUUGAUUUGAUAUAGGCACUGUUUAAUAACAUAUUUGUAAUAAUAAU